GACGAACGCUGGCGGCGUGCUUAACACAUGCAAGUCGAACGGAACGGCCCUGCUUGCAGGGUACUCGAGUGGCGAACGGGUGAGUAACACGUGGGUGAUCUGCCCUGCACUUCGGGAUAAGCCUGGGAAACUGGGUCUAAUACCGGAUAGGAGCCAUUUUUAGUGUGAUGGUUGGAAAGUUUUUUCGGUGUAGGAUGAGCUCGCGGCCUAUCAGCUUGUUGGUGGGGUAAUGGCCUACCAAGGCGGCGACGGGUAGCCGGCCUGAGAGGGUGGACGGCCACAUUGGGACUGAGAUACGGCCCAGACGCCUACGGGAGGCAGCAGUGGGGAAUAUUGCACAAUGGGCGCAAGCCUGAUGCAGCGACGCCGCGGGGGGGAUGACGGCCUUCGGGUUGUAAACUCCUUUCGCUAGGGACGAAGCUUUUUGUGACGGUACCUAGAUAAGAAGCACCGGCUAACUACGUG
rnacentral:rRNA from 1 species